CAUGACAGUUAGGAGCUAGUUGGCUGGUACUUUAUCUCCAUCCACUUUAUGUCCAUCCAAGGCCUAGUAAAUAGACCAAGUCACUGGUGCGGGGGAACACUGUUGUCAGUACGCUACAUUCUCCGACUGCCAUGGGUACCAUGCAGCCUCAUCGAGUUUGGCAUGUGUCAUCAGGUGGUGACGUAUGCACACGGCCCAGAAACAUAACUCCAGUGAGACAGGGAGGCCAACAUGGAGGUCAUGUACACCGGGUGUAGGAUUGACUAUUAGAUUUAAAGUAAAUGUUGUUAUUGUCCCUGAUGACAGUUUAUUGAAUUAAACUAAAAUGUUGGAAGUAA